rnacentral:rRNA from 1 species
UAACACAUGCAAGUCGAACGAUCGAUGUAGGUGUGUCGACAGUCUUUCAUAGUUAGUGACGAUCGGAUGAGUAACGGGUAAGUAAUCUACCUUGGAGAUCAGAAUAACAUUCCGAAAGCAAGGAUCAUACUGAAUAUUCUAUAUUUUUAGUAUGAUUAAUAUAACACAGGUAUCCGCAAGGCUUCCUCUGUAAGAUUAGGUUGCGUCUUACUAGUUUGUUGGUAAGAUAAAGCCUAUCCGAGGGUAUGAUGGAUAACCGCCUUGAGAGGUGAUCGCCCACAAUGGAACUGAUAUAGGGCCCAGACUUCCUACGGGAGCCAGCAGUGGGGAAUAUUGUGCAAUGGGCUAAAGCUCGAAGUAUCAACAGCUGUGUGAACGAUGAUGGUCUUCGGAUAUCUUC